AUGGAGGUUCCCAGGGUAGGGGUUGAAUCGGACCUGUGUCUGCCAGCUUACACCACAGCCACAGCAACUCGGGGUCCAAGCCAUGUCUACGACCUACACCACAGCUCAUGGCAACGCCAGAUCCUUAACCCACUGAGCGAGGCCAGGGAUCGAACCCACAACCUCAUGGUUCCUAGUCAGAUUCGUUAACCACUUAGUCACGAUGGGAACUCCAGGGCCCAGGGAGCGUGGUUUCUGAGCUGGCUUCCCCCGAGUAAGCUGGUGCCCUCUCUCCCUCAAGAUCUCGGGGCAUCCUGGCUGCCAAGCCCCCCCCCCCCGCCCCCCGGAGUCACUGGCAGGCCCAGAGGCCGGCAGGCCUGGGAGGCGGUGUUGCUCAAUCUGGCUGCAGUGCCCCAAGGGCCCAGUCCGCUCAGGUUUCCUGGCGCAUCUGAACCGCUUGGGAGUUGUUGAGAACCUGAGGUUUCCUCGAUAAUUUACAUCCUCUCCCUCCCUUGACAGGAUCACAUGGCCCCCGACAAAGUCGGUGAACACGAUCCUGGGGGAACCUGAUCACCCGGGUCGGGUAACAACAACAAGGGGAACAAUACGAGGGUCAGCCUGGACUCUGGCCAGCGCUCCGGGAGCCCCGGGCUCAGCGGGAGGCCAGUGACCUGAUAGGGGCCGCUUAAGCGCAGCAGAGGCCCUUCACUAGCUGCGGGGGGUAAAGGGUAAGAGGAAGCCAAACCCCUGGGGCCUUAGGACAAAGAUGAAGGUGCCGUUGUGCCCAACCUCAGUAGCCCGAGGGGCUGCGAACUUUCCUCUGGCGUGGAGAUCCCACUCCUUGCCCAUCUCUGCUGUUGACCAGCUGGAGUGUCUGCGGAUCGUGACACCUGUUCCUGGUUCUCCACCUGUGCUCGGGCCACUCCCACCCCGACCCCCAUCCCAUGGCCUGGUUCUCCAAAGCUUCACCCCUCUGCACUGGCUCCAUUCCCUCAACAUAUAAACACACUCGGGACUUGGGAAUCUUCAAAUAAAUCCCUCUUUGCCCCUCUAAUCAUCAGCCUACUACUCUUCCCUCCUCGGGUAAGCCGCUGGGAAGAAACUGAGGGCACCACGCCCUCCUCACUGCCCGCUGCCCGCGGUCCACUGGUCUCCACCUGCUCCACUGAUGCAGAGACACCUCCCCUGGAUCUGUAUCCCUACAAACCCUCCUGGGCACCUGAAUGUUCCACAGGCAGACUCUGAACUCGUUAUUCCUUCAUCAAAAGCAUUUAAAUACCAUCUUUGUGCUGGUCACUGAGCUAUAAAGUGAAUACGGUGAAGGUCAAGGAGCUUAUGAUGUAACGGUAAACAGAGAUGCGAACCAACCCUUAGGGAUCUGAUUAUUAAGGGAUGCAAUUGACAUCUGCCCACAUGUGAUGAGAACCCAGGGAAGUACAUCAAACUGGGAGGGGAGGAGCAACUGGUCAGAGAAGUCUUUCUGGAGGAAGUGGGUUGGAACUGAUUUUUCACAGCGGUAUAGGAAGUGGGUAGAAGAAAUUGAGAUUUUUAGCUCCAGGACUCUUAAGGACUUCAGCAAACCAGGGAACUGUAUAACUGGGAUGAUUUCGUAAAGUGGCCUCAGACCCUCAUAAACCCUUCAGAUCUGCUACUCAAAUACUUAGCGCUGUUGUCUCUCCCUGUGUGGGUCUCAUUCUCUCCUAACCAGUUAAGCUUCCUCUGUGUUUCAGGGGGAAGAAGGAGCAUGGCCACAAGGCAUUCCAGGCUUACAUCAUUUCAGUUUGCUGGCCCCACAAGAAAGAGAGAACCAGGACCCACAUAUAAAAUCUCAGAGAAGGGCUCUGAUUGGCCCAGAUUAGGUCAUGUGCCAAUCAUGGGCCAAUCACUAUGCUUGAUGAGGCUUGGAUCUCCUGCCCAUCCCUGGGACCAGGGAGCCUGAUGCUGUGAUUGGCAGCUCCCUGGAAUGAGACAAGGGCACUAAGUCAAGGAAGGGAUACUGAAAACACAAAAACAACAGAUGGUCAUAAUAGAGAACUUUCUCGACAGAGAGAAUCUUAUGUACGAAACUACGCAGCAGCCAUGGAAUGUGUCUGAGAAUUACUGGUAGUUUUAUAUAGUAAGAUCUAAGGAUGAACAAUGAUGAGUGGCAAGAAAUAAAUCCAGAGAAGAAGAAAGAAUUUGGAGGCCCGUAUGUGCUGAACAACAGAGUUUUAAAAUUAUCCUAAAAGCUACAGAGAGUCUUUGGGAAAUAUUCUAUCAGGUAUUUUAUAUGAUCGGAUCCUCAUAUUUGGGAAAAAAUUUCUUUUGGCCAAAAAAUUGUUCUUUGCUUCCCUAUUUCAGUUAAUGGCACCCCAGUCUUGCUAGUUCCAUGAGCUGGAAUCUGGAGGAAUCUGUGGGUCAACUCCCUCAACCAAGUCCUCCGUGGGUCCCCUCCCGUUAGCCAUUCCUCUCCACUCUAACGGCGCUGCCCAGCCCCAGGUCUGUUCGUGCAAGAACGACUACGGUGGGCCCUGCUAACUUGACCAAGGUGUCCACUCUUCCAGAGAGGUUUCAGUGCCCCAGUCCAGGCUGAGUUAGACGUAGUUCUCUCUGCUUCCAUCCACUGUACACCCGUCAGGGGGCAGCACCCCCUGCAUUGCAACUGUGUACCUUCUGGCUACGACCUGAUGCUCUGUACGCAGACUCUGUGGAUGCCU
rnacentral:lncRNA from 1 species